UUACCACCAAAGGACCUACAAAGGUUACCACCAAAGGACCUACAAAGGUUACCACCAAAGGACCUACAAAGGUUACCACCAAAGAACCUAAAAAGAUUCAAGCAGGUCACACCGAAGAUGCAGGCGAUCACGGCUGGACAAAAGUAGAAACAAAGCGACAUAAGAACGACGACGAUGUAGAUAAGACACCCAAAACGGGUUCGAAUCCCGCAAAUGAAGGCCGUUAGCAUCCCGAAAGCUCCCGUAACACUCCGGGAAAGGAACGCAAAACCGGCAUCCAGGAAUGUGGCGACUCACGUUCCUGUCAGACUACGGAAGACACUCGCAAAAUUACAAAGACUCACCAUAUCCCCACCGAUCUCCGGGGCGUAAUAAUAGGGCCUAAAGGCUAAACUCUGAAAGAAAUCGAAAACACAUUUUCGGUCAAAAUAAUAAUACCGCCAAAAUAACAUUCUCACAGGGACAUUGUGGUUGAAGGGUAGAGAUCAAACGUAGACAAAGCUAUUGUCAAAAUUCACUCAGUAAUCGAGGAACAUAAACAACGGUUGAUAAAACUGGAGGAGGUAAAAGCCAAGAAGGAAGCAGCAGCAAAAGCCAGAAUGGAAGAGGAGGCAAAGAAUAUUACAAGGACCGUAGAGGUGGAAGAACAUAAUAGAAAAAUAGUGCUUGGCCCCAAUGGUAAUACCAUCCACAACAUUACUGAGAAACACAAAGUGAGAAUCCACAUCCCAGCAAAAGGUACAGAAGGCCCCAUCACAGUCAGGGGUCUAGAAGGAAACGUAACUACAGCAACGGCACUCAUCGAAAAACUUAUCGCCGAUCACGAGAAAGCAAGGAAGGCUAAAAUGAAUAAAAUUAACAAAGGAAUAAAAACUGCCCCACGGUGAAGGGUUGGCUAAUUAGAGCCACCAUUAGAGCCAGCGAAGGAAAGAUUACGUGCCCACUAGUACAUCUGAAGGGAGGGGGGGGGCUACGUGCCCACAAACACAUAAAACAACAAAAUAACA